rnacentral:miRNA from 1 species
AUGACUACACAGAGUUCACAUGUGUGUUUUUACAUGUGAAUAUGACACAUGUGCUUGUGUGCUCAUGCAUAUACACAUAUGUAUACAAAAUGA